rnacentral:tRNA from 1 species
AAGAUACUAGUAAAAUAAAUUACCCUGCCUUGUCAAGGCAAAAUUGCAGGUUAAACUCCUGCGUAUCUUA